GCAGAGGCGCUGUUGUGCUGAUGUGAUGGAACCAUUUCAGGUCCUCAGUGAUGUGCAUGCCAAGGUACUUGAGGCUUUUAACCAUCCCCAAUGUGGCCCUGUCGAUGUAGAUGGGGGUGUGCUCUCUGAUUUGUCUCCUGUAGUCCACGAUCAGCUCUUCACUCUAAAAAGAAAAGAUUCCUGGAGGAUUCUUUAGUUUAACUUAAGGUGAAAAAAUGAACCUUUGGGUUAAUUUAAGAACCUAUACUCUGCCAUCAGUUUGUUUUUUAACCUUUGCAGACUUAAGGGGUGCUUUGAAGAACUCUUGUCAAUAGAGGGAUUAAGUUUUGGAACCAGCUGUGAGCGUGUGACUAAAGGGCAUUGUGCGUAUAAUUACGCGGCUGUCAGCCAAUCAGCAUUCAGGGCUCGAACCACCCAGUUUAUAAUUCAAAUUAAGCAAUGCUGGUCAAAAGGCAACUGGAAGCGAGAAGCGAGUGGAUGGUUGGAAAGAUGUGACAGAUAAGAGAUGACUUGCAACGGAUCAACGUGAAAGUCCCUGGCUUGGGAGCGGUGAACUCUGAUAGAGAAAUGUAUCAACCUCCACGAACAGGUAAGACACACACACACACACAAAUGACCCAAUGUAGGUUGUUAAACUUGUUGUUAAACUUGUUUGUGUUUGUGUCGAAUUGAAGUCUUUCAGGUUAGUGUUAUUGGGGCGGCCCGUUCUGUCCUCUGUAUUUCAGACCAAAGCAAGACUAUGUUUGAAGCUCACUAUGGAUCUACAAACAGGUUAGCCUCUAUAAAGUCAUUGAAUGUAUUUGCAGUGUGAUUAUAGUGUGUUCUGUUUUAUGUCUUUGACUUUUCCAACACUAACUGAGUGGUGAAUGAAUGUAUUUUACAGUGUGAUUAUUGUUGGCUCUGGUAGUCCGAUGUCUUUUCAAAUACCAACAAUGGUGAAUGAAUGCAUUUACAGUCAAUCAAUCAAUCAUUCCAGUGUGAUUAUUGUAUGUACUGCGUAAUUCCUUUGUCUUUUCCAGUGCCAACUGAAUGGUGAAUGUCUGGUGUAAUCUUAUCAUCUUUUUGUAUGUGAGAAGAUACGUUGUUUCUUCUCCAUUCUGUAUAUUUGAACAAAAUUCAACUCCAGUUUAAGAACUGGGAUAAGCUACAAAUCUCAUUGUUCGCAUCUCAAAUGUUCAUAAAUGACCAGCACACCUUCCUAAACCUUUAACACCAUAGACAAUAUGAUUACUCAGUUUAUAUGGACUAUUAAAAGGACGAGGAUUAACCGAGCUAGAUUACAGGCAAAGAUUUAUUAGGGAGCUUUAAUCCUCCCUUCUAAGUAAUUAUAUCAAGAAGCCUUUAACUGCCCAGAUAGGCUCUCCUUAUUGAGAAAUCUAAUAGGCCAGUUUGGGUUGACACGGAAGAACUAAAUGUCCCAUUUGGAGCAUCAUAUUAUCGGAGUCAACACUUAAACGUGGGACUGCAGAAUCCCAUAAUGUCCCAUACUAAGAAAUAUGGCAUCAGAUAAAUUAGAGACGGACAUCUUCACCUUUCCCGACAAGCUCUGCUUCGUUAUGGAACAACCAUCAAUACAAAUUAGGGGGACAGGCGGUUGUCUGGAAAGAGUGGUAUAUAUUUUGUUUAGGCCUCAGCACUAAUACAUUUCACUUUUGCUUUGAGUGUCAACUUGAAUUUGAGUGUGGCUGUGGAAGACUGGGCCCUUGAUGAUGUCCGCAAGUGGCUGAGUACCAAUGAUCUCCAUGAUUCCGUCCCAUCAUUCCAAGGCUCACAAAUCUGUCUGAAGAAUGCCAACUCUAUUCAAAUUGUCCACUUUGCAACUAACAUACUUUCUCUGUGUCCAGACUACUCACACAUGAUGUUGAGUCACUGACAUGAUCUUCCUGUCCGUGUUGGCGCCCCCCCCCCACGGGACCAUACCUCAGGACUAUCUGGCCUGAUGACUCCUUGCUGUCCCCAGUCCACCUGGUCGUGCUGCAGCUCCAGUUUCAACUGUUUUGCAGGCAACUAUGGAACCCUGACCUGUUCACCGGACGUGCAACCUGUCCCAGACCUGCUGUUUUCAACUCUGUAAAGACAGCAGGUGCAAUAGAGAUACUCUGAAUGAUCUGAAUGAAAAGCCUGAAUGAAAAGCCAACUGACCUUUGCUCCUGAGGUGCUGACCUGUUGCACCCUCUACAACCACUGAUUAUUAUUAUCUGACCCUGCUGGACAUCUAUGAACAUUUGAACAUCUCGGCGAUGUUCUGUUAUAAUCUCCACCCGGCACAGCCAGAAGAGGACUGGCCACCUCUCAUAGCCUGGUUCCUCUCUAGGUUUCUUCCUAGGUUCCUGCCUUUCUAGGGAGAAUUUCCUAGCCACCGUGUCUCCACAUCUGCAUUGGGGUUUUAGGCUGUGUUUCUGUAAGAAGUAAGAAGGGCUUUAUGAAUACAUUUGAUACUACCAGCCAGUUUCAACAGCCUUCACCCAGCAUACAUGGUUCAACACAGUCAACAAUGGAUUAGGUCUGUUGAUGAGAUGGAUUUCCAUGGGUUAGCUGGAGACAGGGACCCAGAGGGAAGUGUCCAUUCCACUCCGCCUCUGGAUUGCAAGCACCAAAUUGAUGGAGUGACAUUGAUGUCAUUGGACCAAAAGAAUGGUGGCGCAACUGGUUCCAAUAAUUAAAGUCCGAAUCAAAUUCACAAAAUGAAUGGAGAAUCUAAAAGCUGUAAAUAGUUCACAGCUACAGCAAACAGCCCAGCAAAAUGACCCAGCAUCUGUCCAGCACAAGUACCCACCAAUUGGACUUCAGCAUGACACAUCAAUCAGCCUAAGAGUCUGGCCAUCUGUGUUUAGAUUUCCAGGAUUUUUUUUUCUUUUCUUCUUCCUACUGUGAAAGUCUCAGACUGUGCAGGUGUUGUUCAACUUCAUGCGUACCAACACUUCGUGACUAUAGUUAUGUAAUAUACUGAUCUUAAUGAUGUAAAUUCCUCACUUAUGAAUCAUAAUGGGCGCGUGCGUGCGUGUGCAUCAGCGUCACCUCGAGCCCUUCCGUCUGUCCAUACCGUUGUCAUAAUCACUGCAGCUGAUAGCAUAGCACAGGACAUACUCAACUUUUGCAUGAUGAUAAUCAACCUCAUCAAUGUAAUUUGUAUUACAAACAGAAUUGUUCGUCAAAAUGUUAUGUUGUAUGUUUCUCAUUUGCUUUAGGUACCCCAGCAAUGCAUGGAUGUGUGCACAGCGCUCAUUCAAAAGUACCCCUCGUUGAGAGACCAGACAGGGAAGGGAUAUGAAAAUUCUUCAGUUUUCCUAUACACAUUAAUUCACAGUAAUAACUUUUUUACACCAUAAAUGUGCUGGCUUGGAUAUUUUCUUCUCACAAUGUUAAACUAUCACAUUCCCAGCAGCAUAACAAGACCAUCUCUCGUCUGCUCUUCUGACCUCAGUCCCAAUAAUCCAUCUUGACAUUUCUCCUCUUCACAUUUGAUUUUUUAAGGAGUCAUGGCACGGGCAUGAUAAAAAAUAAAUACAAAAAGAAGAGUGGCAGCCGCUUGCUCACGUUGCACAAGUGCAGGAAAUGCAGAAGAGGUUUGAGAGGCAAGUGAAACAAAUGAGACCAGACGCUACCAAAACAUGAAGACCUGACCAAAAUAGCCAAGGUAACUACACACAAAUAAUGGCGCAUAUUCAGUGCGUCAAAGUCGAACCGUUGAUCCCGGAUCAGUUUUUACGAUCAUAAAUAAGAUUGUAUGGACAUGUGGGGGAGGACCUGAUCCAAGAUCAGCACUCUGAGAUGCUUUGUGAAUAUGGGACAUUUUGCCUUUUUCUAUAGACUUGAUCAUGAUUGAAAAGGGGGCGGACUUUGUAUCCAUCCUGGAAGGGAGAGUAGCAGUGAUCCAAAGUCUGGUCUGAGUGUGUGGAAUUUGAUAAACCGGACCUUAAAUUUGUUCUGUUAAAAAUCCCCAGUCACAAUGAACACAGCUUCUGGAUGUGCCUAUUUCAGUUUAUUAAAAGUCCUGUAUAAAUCCUUGGGAACUCAAGUGGUCAUUUAUACAGCCGUGAGGAUAACGAAAGAAAGUUCCCUCGGGAGAUAACUACGAGAGCUUUUAGAAAUUGCCGUGGUCACACAAAGAGUUGUUGAUCAUGAAAUAUAUCCCACCUACUUUGCUUUUCCCUGACGCCUUUGUCCUAUCCACCCAUUCGAUGGAAAACCCUGUGGGUUGAAUGGCUGGGUCGAGUACUGAUGGUGUAAACACGUCUCAAUGCCCAAUGAGAUCAGUUACUGCCAUUUUGCUGGAUAUUGGUAAUCCAAUCACAGAUUAAAUGGAAAAAGAUUUGUGUAAAAUAUUAUAUUUAUUUGAAGAGUUCAUUGGGUUUAUGAAAAUCUGGUGGGUGGAGGUAUUGUUGAUUGUGUAGAACAGUGUUCCCCAAAUGGCGAAUGGUUUUAUUUGGCCCUGAGCAACAUAAAAAUCUAUAAUUCUGUUGGUUAUAAGACAAAAACAUCAGGAAAUGAGCUCCAAGUGAUUUUAAUUUAAGAAAUAUGUUCCAGUAUUCCCACGCAUAAUAGAGAAACGUUAUCGAAUUAGUCAAGUUUUUAAUUAUUCUGUUUUAGUAUUACAUAUCUGUUUGGGCUUCUUGCCAUCAAUUUGCCAUCUACAAAUUUAUUUGUAAUUAUGUUCCGGCCCCCUGACCAUCCGCACAAAAAAAAAAAAAAAAAAAACGUCCCGCUGCUGAAUCUAGUUGAUGAUACCUGGUGUAGAAGGCAGUGUGUUUACCAAGCAGCAAUAGCGUGGAGAUUCAUCUAAUUAACUCACCAACUAAUUACCUCAACUUCAAUAAGACUGUAAUAAAGAGUAUGGAUUUGUGCGCUCCCUCUUUGAGGCAAUCAUCAGAACUCAUUCACGCAACCAUACGUGCACGCUUAAAUGUGCACACACCUCACACAAAGAUGUGUACUGGCAUGCAUUUCAUGUCCUACACAUUCUGAAAGUGGUUGGAGAAAAGUAGCAGUUUUAAAGCAAAUUUUCUGCAAUAUUACACAUUUUGCAUUGAUUUAGGACAUGUUCAUAUCAGGUGAGAUUGACUAACAAAAUCAAAUGUGGACCUUCUGGAGGUCAGGGCCCAUGGGCAUAAUUACAUAAUUACUCUACUUUAAAAACCUGGGUCAUUCCACCAAUUCGGUGUCUUGUAAGAAGUGCAACUUGUCAAAUAAACAAAUGUUACCUCAUUUUAACAUUCUGUCACAAAGAGCACAUGUUCAACUUCAUAAAAAAACAAGUUUUUCAAUCUAAAAAGGCUAACAAAAAAAAGGCCUAUUAAGUGCCAAAUAAAGUAACAGGCUUGACAAAAUCAUCUUAAAUCAGCCAUGAAUCCUCUUGUGACGGGGAAGCUUCACAAACAAAUGGUUAUACCAUUUCUAGUCUGUCUGUCUAUGGGUAAAAGGGUUGACGUGUUAUAUAGAUGUUCAAUGUUUCUUCUAAAUAGAGAGUUCAUGUAACAGGGUUGACCUUUUAAAUGGGCGACAGAUGUAAAUGAAUCACAAUCUUCAGAAAUGACCUUUUCAAAGCAACCACAUAACCAGGACUUUACAAUGAUGCUUAAAAAUGUGGAGAAAUGUUGAGGUUUAGUGGUUUAAAAUCUUCCAGGAAGUCACAGAGGGAGACGGAGGGACGUCAAAUUUUGGCACUUCUCCAUAUAGACCACUUCUCCAUGUGGUCUAUAUUAAAGAGAAAUUCAUUUCAUAUACCAGGCUUUUAAAAAUGUAAUAUUGGUGCACAAUUUCUACAAUUUUUUACUUUCAAAAGGACAGAAAGGGCACUCUUUUGGAAUGACUCAGCUGGCUAGACUAACUUACUUAGCAAUCUAAAAAUGUUUAGCUGACAUGGGCUAAUUUAGUGGCUGUAAGGAGAACACUACCUGGAGUAAGAGUUACCUAAUUCAAAUUCCUGAGUUGUAGCUUUUAACACAUUUUCCAACUUGAGUUA